UUUUCAGCUUUAUUUUUGAGAGGAAAGAGGGGUCAUGUGCCAAUGAAACGUUGUCACUAUAAGCGCGACAUCGUCGUCAAUGAAAAUCUAGAGGUUAGGAAUUUUUCUUGAGGAAUACCCAAGGAGAAGGAUUGGGUCUCUCAACUUGCAGUCGACCGUGAACCAAAAGUUUGGUCCCAACCUGCGUGGAUCCUGUUGUAAACGAACCGCAUAUAUAAUAAGCUUUCUGGAGCUGAGCAGCACUAUAAGUCGUCGGGUUGGGAUUGUACUUCUAGUAAGGAUGGGGGCAGCCUAUUACAAUUUGAUUGCCUUGCUUUCGUUUUCCCUCUGCCAUACGGGAGAAGCGGUGAGUAAAAAAUUUUAAAAAACGAAAAAAAUAAUCAGCAUUAAAGCACAAAACGUACGGUUGUCUUGCUAAACACUAGCGUAUCAUGAAAACAGAAGUGACCUGUUUUGUGCAAUUGAAAAUAAAAUUACUCAAUUCUUAGGUAUUCGAACGAUUUUUUAGAGUCUCUCGGUUGAAUGGUGACAAUAGAUUAGUGGACAAGGCACAAUCAGUUAACAUUCUGAUACAUGUUUCUUAACUAAAAUAUUUGGCAAAAUAUAUAUAAAAUAUAUAAAUAUAUCAAACAUUCGCGCAAUGCAAAUUACUAAAACUAGCUCCUAACGCUGCUUAACGUCCUUCAAUGCGCAAAUUCAAACCUUUUGCUCAUGAAAAAACGAAAGUCUUCUUGAGAGAGACAAAUCUCGAUCUAAACGUUACCGUAACAAUCUUUGCGGUGUAAAAAGGAUGGCAGCCCCGGUCUCGGUGCUUCAGCUCAGUUGUUGCAAGUAGUUAACACUUUGAACAACGCAAGACGGUGAAGGAGCACUGCUCGAUCAAGAAACCUGCCAAAAUCAGUGCGUGCCUUGAUUUAAGUAGUCCAUUGACUUUCUUAUGAGUGGGAAAUUCUCUAUACUGCCUUGGAACCAAUAAUGUAAUUACAUUUGAUUCGGAGAGAGUAAGGUACGCCAAGAUGCCAAAAUAUAGAUGCAAUAUGCGCUCCUUCAAAACCUACCUAAUUACAUUUCGCUAGAAGCGUUAGUAUUUUAGUUAGAAGUUAUUUCCAGUAAUUUUCUUUGCGCGUAUCGUGAUCUAAGUGAAACCUUUGGUUGACAUGUUUCAGAGUGCUUAAAUUCGUACCUUGUCUACUGGUCCAUUUCGUCGUCCCCCUGACAAAAGAACGUAAUUAAAUUUCAACUUUGCCAAAUUUCUCCUCGCAAAAUGCAUUUUCACUAAUAGAACUUUGGGCAUUUUGAACUGAAAAUUUCACUGAUUUUGCUCCUGACCGUGUGCUAUAACAUGUAAAAGUUUCAACAAAAAUGGUACAG
rnacentral:lncRNA from 1 species